rnacentral:rRNA from 1 species
AAAUUGAAGAGUUUGAUCAUGGCUCAGAUUGAACGCUGGCGGCAGGCCUAACACAUGCAAGUCGAACGGUAACAGAAAGCAGCUUGCUGCUUUGCUGACGAGUGGCGGACGGGUGAGUAAUGUCUGGGAAACUGCCUGAUGGAGGGGGAUAACUACUGGAAACGGUAGCUAAUACCGCAUAACGUCGCAAGACCAAAGAGGGGGACCUUAGGGCCUCUUGCCAUCGGAUGUGCCCAGAUGGGAUUAGCUAGUAGGUGGGGUAACGGCUCACCUAGGCGACGAUCCCUAGCUGGUCUGAGAGGAUGACCAGCCACACUGGAACUGAGACACGGUCCAGACUCCUACGGGAGGCAGCAGUGGGGAAUAUUGCACAAUGGGCGCAAGCCUGAUGCAGCCAUGCCGCGUGUAUGAAGAAGGCCUUCGGGUUGUAAAGUACUUUCAGCGGGGAGGAAGGGAGUAAAGUUAAUACCUUUGCUCAUUGACGUUACCCGCAGAAGAAGCACCGGCUAACUCCGUGCCAGCAGCCGCGGUAAUACGGAGGGUGCAAGCGUUAAUCGGAAUUACUGGGCGUAAAGCGCACGCAGGCGGUUUGUUAAGUCAGAUGUGAAAUCCCCGGGCUCAAC